rnacentral:lncRNA from 1 species
AUGAGGACAUAUUUUUUUCCUACAGACACUUCAUCGAGGGGUCAAGCAUUCAAGGAUUUUCUUGGAAUGAGAUGGCAAAUCCACAGUGAGACAUCGGCUGGACCGGCCGCGGCCACAGGGGGCCACUGGGAGCACAUGUCAGCCACCAGGAUGACAUGGAUGCUGAAGAAAGAGUGGGUCCUACAUAAACCUCAAACAGGACCCUCUCAAGGCAGGUUCAAGGAGACCAGAAGGAACUUUCUCCUUGUGACAUUGAGGAAGCUGGAGUCAGGCUGGUAAAAACUUGGCCACAGACAGGUUCCAGUGGGUCGGGGUUCUCAACUCCCCUUUGGACAUCAGGGGAAAGUGAGACCCACAGAGCAGCUCUAUCUUUCCCAUCCAAACCCACGUCCUUGAAUCUUCCCUGGAGGGAAACCACGCUGAGGUAGGAGGCCUGGGUUCCAGGCCCAACUCUGCUUCUAAUUUUCAAAGAAUCUACACAAAUCUCUUCCCCUCUCUGAGCCUCGAACCUGUAGGUAUUUCAGAUGACCCUGAAGAUGCCCUCUGGUGCAGCAUUGAGGACAUGGGGCUCAGACCCUGCCCGAGCUCAGGAGCCAGCACAGCUGAAGAAAUGGUCUGGACACCCAGGCUUCUUUCUCUGACAUCACGUUUGGGCCUCAGUUUCCUCUUCUGGGAAUGCAAGUGUUGUGGUUAACGCUGUCUGGGUUCAAACUCUGGCUCUGCCUUUACCAGCUGUGUGACCUUGGGCAAGUCACUUAACCUCUCUGUGCCUCUGUUUCCUCACAUACACAGCAGAGCAGCAAGGGAAGAGGACUCAGCUGUCUGAGAGUGUCCCCUGUCAGACCUGACGAUCCAUGCAUUUCUACCCCAAGUUUCUCCAAAUGAACCACAGAGAUAGGAAUCAGGUGAGGGGCCUCUCCCUGGAGCCGAGCCAAAGAUUUCCAAGGGACACAAUUUUGGUCUUUAAAUGGACGGGAAUAUUACGGUGUUGAACACAAAAGUCCCAUGCUUUUUUUUUUUCUUUUUUUUUUUUUUACAAAACGUAUGCCCUCAAAGGAAUUAUGUGUGUUUUAAAAAUAAGGCACACGACCUCAAAAUAACUUUAGUGAGGGUUGGUUUUGCGUAAGGGAAAGAGAGGACUUCAAGUGAUGCCCCAGAUGCUGUCCCCCAAAAUAUCAGGGGUUGGCCCUCUGCUGUUGCGGCUCAUGUGUUCAUUCCCUCACUAAGGGUUAAUGAGGGCCCACGAUUCAGGGUGCAGGUAAGUGCUUGGUUUUGACCAAAGAUGCUCCAUCCACUCCAGCUCUGGAAGAUGUCGGUUGGCUCAGAGCACUGGCUGCCGAAAAAAGGAGGGGGAAGGGGAGAGGAGUGGAGGGAGAGCCAGAAGGGGUGGAGGGGCCCUGGGAGCAGGAGGUACAUUGAGAAGGCAGGGGCCAGGCAGCCGGCCUUCUACUCAGCUCCCCACGGUGGCCCUGCUCCGCACCCCAUGAGCUUCAGAGCCCCCUAAGGAACUUGAGUGUCUGGGGUGCCCCCAGCAUUUCCAUAUGACAUCCUAGGGGAGAAACCAGCCAGACACCACUGCCGCCUCCGCCCCGGGGGAGCCAGAUGACGCCCAAAGAGGCCUUUCAGGCGCUUCCAGAACUGAUGGCUGCCCCAGGGCCAGGCCCACCUUUGAUGUCAGCCCUGCAUCCUUACAACCACCAGAGAUGGAGCUGACACAGCCCCAGUUUUCAAGAACACGGCUCUCAGCGAGGCACAGCAACUUGCCAAAGCGCCACAGCGAGAAAGCAGAAAGGGGCAGGGCUUCUCACUAAAUCUGCCCUAUCGCCGGGGACACGGACACCUAGAGACAAAGUCGUGAACGCCACACGCUUACCGAGCUCUGGGACCCCAGCUAAGUGCGUCUCCCACAUGAACGCCCAAUUCCAAGUUCCCCAAUCCCAGGUUCUUUCCUUUAAACAAAUGGCACGGCAAAUACCAAAAUAACAAAGAUAAAAAAUAAAAUAGGGCUUCCCUGGUGGGGCAGUGGUUGAGAGUCCGCCUGCCGAUGCAGGGGACACGGGUUCGUGCCCCAGUCCAGGAAGAUCCCACAUGCCGCGGAGCGGCUGGGCCUGUGAGCCAUGGCCGCUGAGCCUGCGUGUCCGGAGCCUGUGCUCCGCAACGGGAGAGGCCACAACAGUGAGAGGCCCGUGUACCAUAAAAAACAAACAAAUAAAUAAGAUAAAAUAAAAUGUGCCCUCCCCUAGAUCCAUGUCCCCCCCACCAAAGGCCCUGUGAGGCAGUGUCGUUCCCAUUUCACAGAUGAGGAAACCAAGACUGCAGAACUAGGAAGGCGAGGAAUUUGAAGCCAAGCAGUCGGAUUCCAGAAGCUCUGACCACCAUGCCAUCCUGCCUCUCCAAACACACCUUGACGAGCCAUGCUUCUCCCCCUGGUCACCCGGCACCGGCUCCAAUGCCCACACAGGGAAGGAAGGACGCCCGAGUGAGGGAACAGUUUUACCAGUUCAGCAGAAGGUGAGAGGGACCCCAGCCUCUUCAUCCAGGUCACAGGACACAGCCUUAACCACCCUCAGUCACCGUGGCCCGUGGGCUCUGGCAGAAGGCCACAGGCAGGCAGGCAGUGUAGACGUGGGUGUGCCAAGAUUGCAACACUUACCCUCACGGCCUCCCAGGCCUGUUCGGUUUCUCUGAGCUCCGCUGAUAUGCAGCUCUGUCACAUUAAAAAAAAAAAAAGUCAACGCAAUUCUACAAGAAAAGGGAGGAACAGAGAGGUCCCAGUGGAGGUAUGAGGAAGUGGUAACACAGACGUCUAUGGAACUGACUCAGUCACUGCCUGUCCUCAGGUCCCUGAAGCAGGGGAGGCUGCCGCUUACUAACCUCCAGGAAGAUCCCGGGCCAAAGGCUCCCCUCCCCCGCGUCCAAAAGCCUGAGGGUCCACCACUGUGGACGUGCUGUGCUGGCUUAAGGCGCCAGGCUCACAACCCCCUCUCCUGCGAGCUGUCACCAGCUGCAAACACCUCAGGGUGAAGGAGUUGAUCCCUUUGGUUUUCAGUGCAACAUCUGGAUGAGAAGAGUCUUCUGAGGGAUGGGGCAUGAGACUCAUAAGUGUUGAUCGAGCUAUCAAAGAUAAAUGAGAUAACCCUGACUGGUGUAGGGAGAGUCUGUGGCAUCAGUGGAAAGGGCUGGAAAUCACAGAGGAGGAGGGUAGGUGAGCUCUGGAGAAGGGACCAGGAGAAUAGGAACAGCCCUUGUGGUGUCCAGGUAAACGAAGGGCAAGGCUCAGGAGCCUGACUCCUUUCGCUGUGAGCUGUGUGGCCUUAGGGAGCCAAUUAACCUCUCUGAUCCUCAAUCUCUAAGCCUCAUCCUUCACAGGAAAAAAAUAACUGCCAAACAGUCUGGGGGUUGGAGCAGAAGGGGGUGAUUAAAGAAUUCAAUCUCAUUUCAGGAAGUAUUUACCAAGGACCUGCCACAUACCCCAUUUUCAGGGCCCAGAAGUCUUUGCAGGGACCCACUAAGUGCGGGACCCAGUGCUAAGCCCUUUACAUGGAUUAUCUCCUUUAAUUCUCACCACACAACUCAGGGCAGAACCUGCCAACACUCUCAUUUACAAGUGGGGAAACCGAGGCUGAGAGAGAGGAACCGACCCGAGAUCACCCAGCUGGUCAUCAAGCGACUCGGGAUUCGAACCCAGGUCUGCCUUACUCCAAACUGAACCAUUACUCUGAGGGCCCCGUCAAAGCACAGAAAGCCAGGGCCACUGGAGGUGGGACGUGUUCCCAAGGCAGAGAGGGAGGCUGUGAAUUAGGGAAUGGAGGAGGGGUGAGCACACAUGUUUUCUCCAGGCCUCAGUUUCCUUGGCUGUAAAAUGAGACAGUUUGCCCCACCUCCCACAUUUCUGAUGGGUC